UUUAGAAUCAAGAACUAGGCUUCCAAAGCUGGCCAAUGAGUAGAAGAAUCAAGGUGGACUGACAGACAGCAACAUCUGUUAGAGUAAUUGGAAGUAAUUACCAUGUAACUUCUGACUCAUCAGGGACCCAGCCCACCAGCACCAAGACUUUUAAAAAGAAUGUCAGACCGUUUUGCUGUUUAACAUGAAAUUGGAGAGAGAAAUUGGUGUCAUGGUCUACGUCCUUCUACUACAAAUUAGCAGGAAACCCGGGAUUGCUUUGGCCGUCUCCUGCCUGCACACACCUCAUUCCACCAUCAGUUCCAUUCUACUGCUACUCCACCCUGAUGGUUUGGAGGACUUGCCCGUGAGCCUCGCUGAGUCCCUGGGCUUCAUCCUGGAAGCUGAUAAUCACAUUCUGCACAACAAGAUGCUCAACCCAAGAGGGACUUGAAGGAACAGAAACUGACAAAAACCCAGCAGAUUCAAGUCUACUUUCUCAGGCUCUCUCUCUAGAGCAGAAAGUUGUCUCUGGUGCAGCUGCCCGGCCAAGGACUGUAGUUCCCAGCUUCCUUUGCAUCUAGAUGGAACCACGUGACUGUUGUGACCAGUGAAAUGGGAGCAGAAGUAAUAUGGGUCACUUGGAAGCCAAGACAGUGAAGAAGCAGGUGUGCAUCCUCCAUGCAUUCAUCCCACGUUUUCUGGCAGGAGGUAUAUGACUCCAAGGAUCUAGGAGAUGACAAAGCCACAAGAUACAAGAAACCUGGGUCCCUGAAUUCCUACAUGGAGGUACUCAUCAAUCAAGUGAUUGAUAAACAUACCUCUAUUGGGCUAAGCCUCUAAAACUUGAGGGUUUAAUUCAUCAAGGCCACUAGCAUUACCCUAAGUGAUACAAUAGUCCAGCAAAGAAUACAAACUACGUAAAUUGUCAUCACCAGUGCAGUGAGAACUAUAUAAACAGCAUCCUUAGAGUACCAAGGAAGGAAUCAUGGGAGAGAUAAAUUUUACCUGGGAAUUCAGGGAAUAUAUCGCAGAUCAGUGGGCCUAGAAGGAUUAGUCCAUCUGAUUUUCACAAACAACUCCAUCAUCACCAUAUGAUAUAUGGAGACUCUGAGAAUCAGAGCAGUUAAAUGACUUGGGCAAAGUCAUCCUACCGGUCAUUAGCAGAGCCAGGACUCCUGACUCAACUCCAGUUCUCUUCCCCGUGCAUGACACUGUCUCAAACUUCUUUUUGGAGAAGCAAAAAUCCAGCAAGAAUCAACUGGACCUUCCAGGAUAGGGUUUAACCAGAAGCUACUUUCUCUGUUCCUCUCCACAAGACACCUGGUGCCUGACUUUCAGAACUGAUCCUGCUAAGGGAUUCAUUAAUAAGCCAACUCCUUUUUUCCCUCGGGGGCCAUGCUAAUUAGGACAUGUGACCUUGGGCAGUGUGAAGGAUCUUGUCCACGGGCAAAGGUGCUCCCUACAGAAAGCGUCUGUGCCCACCACAAAUGCUGAACGACCCUUUCACCAUCCAACAGCAAGCUGGCAGCGUGGGAGUCAAAAGGCAGACAUGAGAAUGGAGCACGGCAGGGAGAGGAGAGGGAGAGAUAUUAACAGUUUCUAUUUUUUACUUUGAAAAGAGAUUUUUUUGACACAUUAAGUAGAAGAAUUUUAAUACAUCUGCACACACGAAAAAGCCAGUUUCCCGAAUGCAGCUCUCCCCUGCUCCAACAUUCUUCCUGGCAAGAUAAAACAGCCCACACUUCACUUUGCUUUUUUCUUUUCCCUGAGCUUCUCAAAAGCAGAUUUCUUCUUUUUUUCUGUUGAAACAACCAGGCUUUGACUCAGGGGGCUGCAAACUACAGAAUGAAUAUGUAAAGUUCCCCACACAUACCACAACCCGAAGUUUUUCAGAACACACUGCUUUUACCCAUUGGAAUUAUGCUGAAAACAAACCCAUCUCCUUUAUACUCAUGUAAAUGUAUGACUUCAGAUGUUUUUCAACCCUGGAUCACACAAAAACUGAAUCUAAACCCACAAGUCUGUUUUAAAGAACAGCAGAAUUCAACCAGAGCAGAUUGAAUUAAGAUAAACAGCUUUAAAAAUACACUAAAUGUUUAAAUUCUUUCUCCCCAUCUCACCUCGCCCCUGUUUGUAUCCACAUGCACAACGCACUUUGACCGAAUAAACUUAAAACCAGCUGGAAUGCUGGUGGGAGGGUAAAUCGGUGUGACUUUUCCGGCCGUAGGCACCAAACAAUUUUAAAAUUUAUAUUCCCUUUCACCUACUAAUUCCACUUCUAUGAAUUUAUCCUAAGAAAAAAAUCAAGGGAGUAUGCAAAGGUUUAUACACAAGAAUGUCCAUCAAAUAAUUUAUAAUAGCAAAAUAAACCAAAAACCACUUAAAUAUCCAACAAUAGGUAACAAUGGUUUUCUGGACUAUGGUACAUUUUUAUAAGAUGGAAUAUGAAGUCACUUAAAAUGAUACUGUUUAUAUUUAAGAUAGAAAAAUGCUAUGUAAAAACCAACUUAUAAAACAGUAUGUGUAGAGUGUAUAUAUACCAGAAAUGUACAGGUUGGUGUUGGAAAGUCUGGAAAAGAUGCACACCAAAAUUCAGAGUGAGUUGUCAUUGAUUCCUGGAAAUUCAUAUGAUAUGAAAAACAUUUUUGUUUGCUCAUCCGCGUUCUCUUGUUUUUCAUUAAACAAAUAUUAUUUGUACUACAAAAAGUAAUGAAAAAAUAAAAUAUAUGAAUGAAACUAAG
rnacentral:lncRNA from 1 species